GACGAACGCUGGCGGCGUGCUUAACACAUGCAAGUCGAACGAUGAAGAAAAGAAUUGAAGCUUCGGCAGAAAUUCAUUUCGGAUUAGUGGCAGACGGGUGAGUAACGCGUGAGCAACCUACCUCUUACAAAGGGAUAGCCUCGGGAAACCGGGAUUAAUACCAUAUAACAUUGCGACGAAGCAUUUCGAUGCAAUCAAAGCUACGGCGGUAAGAGAUGGGCUCGCGUCCCAUUAACCAGAUGGUGAGGUAACGGCUCACCAUAGUAACGAUGGGUAACCGGCCUGUGAGGGUGAACGGUCACACUGGAACUGAGACACGGUCCAGAAUCCUACGGGAGGCAGCAGUGGGGAAUAUAGCACAAUGGAGGGAACGCUGAUGCAGCGACGCCGCGUGAGUGAUGAAGGAAUUCGUGACGUAAAACUCUGUUCUAUGGGAAGAAAAUGACUGUACCAUAGGAGAAAGCUCCGGCUAAAUACGUG
rnacentral:rRNA from 1 species